rnacentral:other from 1 species
AGUAGGACUAGCAAACGGGAGGACUAGCUUACGUGGUGAGAUCCCUGAGUGGUCUAAGUCCCGAGUACGGGGCAGUCGUCAGUAGUUCAACGCAAUGUGGAGUUGCCUUGAGAUGCUACGUGGACGAGGGCAUGCCCAAGACACACUUUAACCCUGGCGGGGGUCGCCAGGUGAACUCACCUAAUGGUGUUGGGAUUACAGCCUGAUAGGGUGCUGCAGAGGCCCACGCAUAAGCUAGUAUAAAAAUCUCUGCUGUACAUGGCACAUGGAAGU